GCCUGGCUUGCUCAGUCGGAAGAGCAUGUGACUCUAGCUCUCAGAGUCGUGAGUUUGAGCCCCACGAUGGGUG
rnacentral:tRNA from 1 species